rnacentral:rRNA from 1 species
UACGUAGGUGGCGAGCGUUGUCCGGAUUUACUGGGCGUAAAGAGCGCGCAGGCGGUCGUGCAAGUCGCGUGUGAAAGCCCCCGGCUCAACUGGGGAGGGUCACGCGAUACUGAUCGACUCGAAGGCAGGAGAGGGUAGUGGAAUUCCCGGUGUAGUGGUGAAAUGCGUAGAUAUCGGGAGGAACACCAGUGGCGAAGGCGACUACCUGGCCUGUUCUUGACGCUGAGGCGCGAAAGCUAGGGGAGCAAACGGG